CUUUUUGGUCUUUAGUUUUGUCUAGUUUAAAAAGAAUGGAAAGAAAAAUAAAUUUGUUGUGCAUUCUAAUCUAGUUUUGUUUCUCAUUUGAUUUAGAUUUUCAUCUACUCUUGUUUAAGUGAUUCCAGUUUUGGAUCUUGGCUUUUUGUUUUUACUCUUUGAUUAUAUCUUUGGGUAGCUUUGGUUAUUUCUUUUGCAUGGUUCUUAUUGUUUUCAAUUGUCUUAUUGUUGUGGCAUUUUGAGUCUCGUCUUGUUUUUGUUUGUCCUGUCUUACCCUAUCUCAGAAUCCCUGGCCACUGAACCCCACUGCUUGGAAGCAGCUCACCUCUCUCACGUGUCAAGACUCUGGUCCCGUGAGCCCCUACCUGGCGGCUAGACUGGUGACAUUAUUUUUACUUAAAGCUACGGGUUUCCUGUGUGUCUGCCUGGUCCUUCCUCUUGAGCUGCCUCCUCUGUGCUUGAGCCCGUGGUCAUAUCGGAUUGUCUCUGUGGUCAUCCCUCCUGCCUGUAUUGUUGUCUGCCCUGCCCCUCUGUUUGAACUGUUUCACUGCAAAUUCCUCCAGCUGUUCCAGUCUGUUUUGUUAAUAAAAUACCCUUGUCUGCUCAUUCUGCAUUUGGGUCCCAUUUCCUGCAGAUCCGUGACAGGAAAAAAAUCUUCCACAAAGCUUCAACUUUGUGAUACCUUCAAGAGGGGUGACCCAAAAUUUUGGACAUUCCAGAAAUUCAUCGGACCAUCCGAUUGCCGGUCGGGAGAGGCUAAUCACUUCCCCCUGUACACUGCAAGUCAAAAGACCUAUGACAAAGCUGAAAUUCGGCCCGGCUCAAAAGAGUUGUAAGACUCAGAAAUCAGCUCAAAAUUGGACAAAAAUUGCACAGUGUAUGCCCGGUCUUAAACACUUUAAACAAAAGCAUGUAGUUUAACGCCGCUUGUUAUGUGCUUUGAUAGACACAUGUGCUGUUUAAUGUGUUUGAUGAAUGCUUUACUCAGCAUAUGACAUAUUUUAAGGUUGUCUUUAUCUGUAAAUAUUAAAAAGUCACUCAAGUAUUGAGGCUCCUCCAGACAGCAAACAUGUCUCUGUUAAACUGUAUCUUAUUAUACAUUCAAUGUAAGUUUAAAAUUUUACAUGCAACAAGAAAUGUAAUUUUUGUUAGUUAGAAUGUAAUAUGUUCAGAUAAGAAAAUGCCUUUUUCUUUAUUUUUCAUAAUAAACAAUGAAAUGGUAAACAACCAAUUUUAAUUUUAACCCUGUUUUGCAAGUAACCAUUAACUUCACAAUGCCU
ensembl:lncRNA